GACGAACGCUGGCGGCGUGCCUAAUACAUGCAAGUAGAACGCUGAAGGAGGAGCUUGCUCUUCUGGAUGAGUUGCGAGCGGGUGAGUAACGCGUAGGUAACCUGCCUGGUAGCGGGGGAUAACUAUUGGAAACGAUAGCUAAUACCGCAUAAGAGUAGAUGUUGCAUGACAUUUGCUUAAAAGGUGCAAUUGCAUCACUACCAGAUGGACCUGCGUUGUAUUAGCUAGUUGGUGGGGUAACGGCUCACCAAGGCGACGAUACAUAGCCGACCUGAGAGGGUGAUCGGCCACACUGGGACUGAGACACGGCCCAGACUCCUACGGGAGGAAGCAGUAGGGAAUCUUCGGCAAUGGACGGAAGUCUGACCGAGCAACGCCGCGUGAGUGAAGAAGGUUUUCGGAUCGUAAAGCUCUGUUGUAAGAGAAGAACGAGUGUGAGAGUGGAAAGUUCACACUGUGACGGUAUCUUACCAGAAAGGGACGGCUAACUACGUG
rnacentral:rRNA from 1 species